GUGGGGUAAUGGCCUACCAAGGCUUCGACGGGUAGCCGGCCUGAGAGGGUGACCGGCCACACUGGGACUGAGACACGGCCCAGACUCCUACGGGAGGCAGCAGUGGGGAAUAUUGGACAAUGGGCGGAAGCCUGAUCCAGCAACGCCGCGUGAGGGAUGACGGCCUUCGGGUUGUAAACCUCUUUCAGUGGGGACGAAGCGCAAGUGACGGUACCCACAGAAGAAGCACCGGCCAACUACGUGCCAGCAGCCGCGGUAAUACGUAGGGUGCGAGCGUUGUCCGGAAUUAUUGGGCGUAAAGGGCUCGUAGGCGGUUUGUCGCGUCGGGAGUGAAAACACUGGGCUUAACUCAGUGCUUGCUUCCGAUACGGGCAGACUAGAGGUAUUCAGGGGAGAACGGAAUUCCUGGUGUAGCGGUGAAAUGCGCAGAUAUCAGGAGGAACACCGGUGGCGAAGGCGGUUCUCUGGGAAUUACCUGACGCUGAGGAGCGAAAGUGUGGGGAGCGAACAGGAUUAGAUACCCUGGUAGUCCACACCGUAAACGUUGGGCGCUAGGUGUGGGGUCCAUUCCACGGAUUCCGUGCCGCAGCUAACGCAUUAAGCG
rnacentral:rRNA from 1 species